AACGAACGCUGGCGGCGUGGAUAAGACAUGCAAGUCGAGCGAUGACUCCAGGGUAGCAAUAUUUUGGAGUUGGAGCGGCGCAAGGGUGCGUAACACGUGGGUAAUUUGCCGCGAGGCCUGGAAUAACUCGCUGAAAGGCGAGCUAAUGCCGGAUGUGAAGUUUGGAUGGCAUCUUUUAAACUUCAAAGCUGGGGACCGCAAGGCCUGGCGCUUCGCGAUAAGCCCGCGGCCUAUCAGCUAGUUGGUGAGGUAACGGCUCACCAAGGCUAAGACGGGUAGCUGGUCUGAGAGGACGACCAGCCACACUGGAACUGAGACACGGUCCAGACACCUACGGGUGGCAGCAGUCGAGAAUUUUUCACAAUGGGCGAAA
rnacentral:rRNA from 1 species